CUUAGCAGGCAGUUCCAUGACACAUACUGAAGAGAUUUAAAUGCAACAAAGAUAUCAGACAACUGUUUCAGACAAAAUUAUUUUAUCAACAAUUGAAUUACAUCUUUUGUACUUCUAACACUUCAACAACUGCAGGGGAAUGGUUUGGGCAGGGCUAGAAGUGGUGAUUGAGCACCUGGUGAAGGGGUGUGUCUGGCCCAGGGAGCACAGGCAGAUUGUUUGCUCCUGUGCUCCCCAGCUGACCAGGAGGGAACAGGUGGAGCCCCUAGGCUCAUUAUAAGGGCCAGCCUCUGAAGGGAGAGCAUCUCUUGGACCUGGGCUGCUGCUGACAAGGAGUGCUGCACAGCCACACUCUGAUUCACCAGCUAGUAGCUGAAAGACAUUUUAAGAAGGAACAGAAAUUCCAGUGGCCAUAGAGAUAAGACUAAUAGAGCGUGAAGAUGUUCAGUAAAGAGCACAAAGAAAUCACACUUUUUCUGGAGGGGGAAAGAAACCCUUUAUUAAAAAAUCUGGAUGCUGAAGGAGAGGCAAUGGAGUACAUGUUCAUAAUGGCACAAAAAAAAAAAUGAAUCAGCAACAGACUGACUUUACAGCUGAAAUAAUUUCAGUGGCUUGAGGAACUGGAAAAAUAAGACAUCCACAGAUACUGAUAACCAAGAUAUCAUGAAACACACUCUUGAGAAAACAAAACCUCUUAAAAUCAACUGUAUGAACCAUUACCUAUAAAAGCUGUCUCAUGCAUUCCUGUAAAUCAACAGGUGUUCUCUGUACCAAGGUUUACCUUACUAAAAAAAAAAAACAGCAGGAUGUUGUAAUACACAGGAAGUUCAAAAGAAUUUACAUCAACUCGUUACUCCACUGGAAAAUAAUAUUUUCAAUUAAAAACUGAGAGCAAUAGCUUCAAGAUACACAAGAAAAACAGAAUUGAAAUUACAAAAAUCUAUCAGUGUUCAUUCCCACAUUAUUUUUAAUAAUCUUUUGAGAGAUUAAUAUCUGGCAAGCUAUUUUUUUUUUUUUUUUGAACCACUGUUAAUCACUGUUCCUGUCUUUCUCUGAUGCUGAGUCAGAGAAACACUGGCAGAAGGACCUUUCAUUGCAAGUCAUAUGAAUUCCUUAAAGUGGGUUGGCUUUUUGAUUAUCUGAAAUUGAAAUUUCCAGAAAACAUCAAGUUAAUUCCUUCGUACUGCUUACCUCUUUGUUCUAUUAGAGCAAAAGUCCUCCCUAAAGCACUUAAAUUUGAGUAUUACCCUCUGAGAUAAAAAUCAUGUCAACUUAGGUGCAAUCUACCAGCUCUGUAUUCUGCUAUCUGCCACACCCACCCAAGGGUAUAAGUAUAUUAAAUACAUAUACAUCCACAUCCUUAAAUCUUACUGUUUAAUGCGCUCCCAGAACUUACAUUUGUUUCCGAGGAUGACUUAGCUAGUGAUUUUUCUGUUUGUCUGUUUUUAUAAGAAAUUUCUUAGCCGAGAAAAGCUGAUUAAACGGACAGUAACAGGUUUGCUGGUUUAGAUAUAUUAUAUGUUAUUAAUAAACAUCUAAAUUCA